rnacentral:rRNA from 1 species
UACGAAGGGGGCUAGCGUUGCUCGGAAUCACUGGGCGUAAAGGGUGCGUAGGCGGGUCUUUUAAGUCAGGGGUGAAAUCCUGGAGCUCAACUCCAGAACUGCCUUUGAUACUGAGGAUCUUGAGUUCGGGAGAGGUGAGUGGAACUGCGAGUGUAGAGGUGAAAAUUCGUAGAUAUUCGCAAGAACACCAGUGGCGAAAGGCGGCUCACUGGCCCGGAACUGACGCUGAGACGCGAAAACGUGGGGGAGCAAACAGGGAUUAAGAAAACC